GCCGGGCGUGGUGGCGCACACCUGUAAUCCCAGCUACUUGGGAGGCUGAGGCAGGAGAAUCACUUGAACCCGGGAGGUGGAGGUUGCAGUGAGCCCAGAUCGUGUCACUGCACUCCAGCCUGGGUGACAGAGUGAGGCUCUGUCUCAA
ensembl:misc_RNA Metazoa_SRP Metazoan signal recognition particle RNA